CAAUUUGCUACUGGUGGUACAACAAAUAAAUUUGCUGCUGGGUGCAAGUCAAGGUGUUGUUGUGUUAAGUGCUUCUACUAUUGUCAAGAGGAUAAAAGUGAAGGUUUAUAGAAGUACCCAAUUUGCUACUACAAGUAUUGAAGGCUUUAGUUCAAAUGAUGUUAUUGCCCCAAGGACUAGAUUGAAGCAUGCAAGCCCUAAGGGAAAGGGAACAAUAGCUUCUGGA
rnacentral:lncRNA from 1 species